rnacentral:rRNA from 1 species
CGGGUGAGUAACACGUGGGAAACCUACCUCUUAGCAGGGGAUAACAUUUGGAAACAGAUGCUAAUACCGUAUAACAAUGACAACCGCAUGGUUGUUAUUUAAAAGAUGGUUCUGCUAUCACUAAGAGAUGGUCCCGCGGUGCAUUAGCUAGUUGGUAAGGUAAUGGCUUACCAAGGCGAUGAUGCAUAGCCGAGUUGAGAGACUGAUCGGCCACAAUGGGACUGAGACACGGCCCAUACUCCUACGGGAGGCAGCAGUAGGGAAUCUUCCACAAUGGGCGAAAGCCUGAUGGAGCAACGCCGCGUGUGUGAUGAAGGGUUUCGGCUCGUAAAACACUGUUGUAAGAGAAGAAUGACAUUGAGAGUAACUGUUCAAUGUGUGACGGUAUCUUACCAGAAAGGAACGGCUAAAUACGUGCCAGCAGCCGCGGUAAUACGUAUGUUCCAAGCGUUAUCCGGAUUUAUUGGGCGUAAAGCGAGCGCAGACGGUUAU